rnacentral:rRNA from 1 species
GACGAACGCUGGCGGCGUGCUUAACACAUGCAAGUCGAACGGAAAGGCCCCUUUGGGGGUCCUCGAGUGGCGAACGGGUGAGUAACACGUGAGUAACCUGCCCUUGACUUCGGGAUAACUUCAGGAAACUGGGGCUAAUACCGGAUAGGAAUCCUUGCUGCAUGGUGGGGGUUGGAAAGCUUCGGCGGUUUUGGAUGGACUCGCGGCUUAUCAGCUUGUUGGUGGGGUAGUGGCUUACCAAGGCUUUGACGGGUAGCCGGCCUGAGAGGGCGACCGGCCACAUUGGGACUGAGAUACGGCCCAGACUCCUACGGGAGGCAGCAGUGGGGAAUAUUGCACAAUGGGCGGAAGCCUGAUGCAGCAACGCCGCGUGCGGGAUGACGGCCUUCGGGUUGUAAACCGCUUUCAGCAGGGGCGAAGCUUUUGUGACGGUACCUGCAGAAGAAGCACCGGCUAACUACGUG